rnacentral:misc_RNA from 1 species
GAUGAAGAACGUAGCGAAAUGCGAUACGUAAUGUGAAUUGCAGAAUUCAGUGAAUCAUCGAGUCUUUGAACGCACAUUGCGCCCCCUGGUAUUCCGGGGGGCAUGCCUGUCCGAGCGUCAUUGCUGCCCUCAAGCACGGCUUGUGUGAUGGGCCUCCGUCCUCCUCCCGGGGGACGGGCCCGAAAGGCAGCGGCGGCACCGCGUCCGGUCCUCGAGCGUAUGGGGCUUCGUCACCCGCUCUUGUAGGCCCGGCCGGCGCUUGCCGACACAUCAAUCUUUUUUCCAGGUUGACCUCGGAUCAGGUAGGGAUACCCGCUGAACUUAAGCAUAUCAAUAAGCGGAGGA